ensembl:snRNA U6 U6 spliceosomal RNA
GUGCUCACUUCAGCAGCACAUACACUAAAAUUGGAAUGAUGCAUAGAAGAUUGGCAUGGCCCCUGCAAAGGAUGGCAAGUAAAUUCAUGAAGCACUUCAUACUUAC